AUGAAAGAAAUAGGAAAGAAGAAGAUCAAAGUUGGGGCGGAAGAACAUUGCAGAAAUCCUGCACAAAACAUCGACGCCCAACCGGCCAAUCCCGUCGCCAUCUCCCUUCCGCAUUACACAGCUGUCACCACCGCGAUUCCGACCACGCCGUCGAUGGCUUCAUCUGAUUCGCGCUUGCUGUCACAGAUCUCUGACCGCCCAGCACGCUGCAGCGCCGCCGUCUCCAUGCGAUAG